ACUCGUUGUGGAACGAUACGUGCUCGUCUUGUUUCUUGAUCCUGCAGGUGGAUGCUGCAAUCCAAAAGGACGCAUCUGCAGAACCACUUUUCUUCGAAGUCGGAAGGCGCUUAGAAGUCGCCAAGAAAAAGAAGGCACAGGUCAUAUCCUAUUCCUCUGGCGAAACUUUGAAAGACCAUACGUAACAUCGUGUGGAAGCACCUGAAGAGGAGGAACGAUGAAGUAUGACAUCUAAAGGGUAAGAGAAUAGGGCAGGGUAGAAGGAUCCUGGUACACAUGGUUAAUCAUUCAAAAAUGCUUGGCAGAACUAGCUCGGGUCGAGUGCCUGUAUAUAUGUAUAUACAUAACAUAAGUCUUCCUUAUCGUGGAAAU